GAAGGCGUUAUGCGUUGUAAACUGCUUUUAUAUAGGAAGAAACAGACCUUGCGAGGUAAUUUGACGGUACUAUAUGAAUAAGCACCGGCUAACUCCGUGCCAGCAGCCGCGGUAAUACGGAGGGUGCAAGCGUUGUCCGGAUUUAUUGGGUUUAAAGGGUGCGUAGGCGGUUUAUUAAGUCAGUGGUGAAAGACGGUCGCUCAACGAUUGCAGUGCCAUUGAUACUGGUAGACUUGAGUGAGAUUGAGGUAGCUGGAAUGGAUAGUGUAGCGGUGAAAUGCAUAGAUAUUAUCCAGAACACCAAUUGCGUAGGCAAGUUACUAAGUCUCAACUGACGCUGAGGCACGAAAGUGUGGGUAUCAAACAGGAUUAGAUACCCUGGUAGUCCACACUGUAAACGAUGAUAACUAACUGUUGGCUUUUGGGUCAGUGGUACAGAGAAAUCGUUAAGUUAUCCACCUGGGGAGUACGCCGGCAACGGUGAAACUCAAG
rnacentral:rRNA from 1 species